rnacentral:lncRNA from 1 species
AUUUUUUGCACACGGAGGCGCCUCGCAAAGUCUCGCGCCAUUCCGCGUCCGGCGGACGAAGUUGGCCAGCCCCACCCCCCAAGGCUAUAGCCCACCCGUUUUUGUGGGCUUUUUCCGCUGGACGAACUUGGCGCCCCGGCCUUCGGGCGGUUAUUUUUGGGCGCGGCUGUGCCCUAGCCUAUUUUUGGCACACGGAGGCGCCUUGCAAAGUCUCACGCCAUUCCGACUCCGGCGGACGAAGUUGGCCAGCCCCACCCCCCAAGGCUAUAGCCAACCCGUUUUUUUGGGCUUUUUCCGCUGGACGAACUUGGCCCCCCGCCCUUCGGGCUGUUAUUUUUGGGCGCGGUUCUGCCCGCGGCCUAUUUUUUGCACACGGAGGCGCCUCGCAAAGUCUCGCGUCAUUCCGCGUCCGGCGGACGAAGUUGGCCAGCCCCACCCCCCAGGCUAUAGCCCACCCGUUUUUGUGGGCUUUUUCCGCUGGACGAACUUGGCGCCCCGGCCUUCGGGCGGUUAUUUUUGGGCGCGGCUGUGCCCUAGCCUAUUUUUGGCACACGGAGGUGCCUUGCAAAGUCUCACGCCAUUCCGACUCCGGCGGACGAAGUUGGCCAGCCCCACCCCCCAAGGCUAUAGCCAACCCGUUUUUUUGGGCUUUUUCCGCUGGACGAACUUGGCGCCCCGCCCUUCGGGCUGUUAUUUUUGGGCGAGGUUCUGCCCGCGGCCUAUUUUUUGCACACGGAGGCGCCUCGCAAAGUCUCGCGCCAUUCCGCGUCCGGCGGACGAAGUUGGCCAGCCCCACCCCCCAAGGCUAUAGCCCACCCAUUUUUGUGGGCUUUUUCCGCUGGACGAACUUGGCGCCCCGGCCUUCGGGCGGUUAUUUUUGGGCGCGGCUGUGCCCGCGGCCAAUUUUUGGCACACGGAGGCGCCUCGCAAAGUCUCGCGCCAUUCCGAGUCCGGCGGACGAAGUUGGCCAGCCCCACCCCCCAAGGCUAUAGCCCACCCGUUUUUGUGGCAAUUUUCCGCUGGACGAACUUGGCGCCCCGGCCUUCGGGCGGUUAUUUUUGGGUGCGGCUGUGCCUGCGGCCUAUUUUUGGCUCACGGAGGCGCCUCAUAAAGUCUCGAACCAUUCCGAGUCCGGCGGACGAAGUUGGCCAGCCCCACCCCCCAUGGCUAUAGCCCACCCGUUUUUGUGGCCUUUUUCCGCUGGACGAACGUGGUGCCCCGGCCAUNNNNNNNNNNNNNNNNNNNNNNNNNNNNNNNNNNNNNNNNNNNNNNNNNNNNNNNNNNNNNNNNNNNNNNNNNNNNNNNNNNNNNNNNNNNNNNNNNNNNGCGGUUAUUUUUGGGUGCGGCGUGUUGCCCGGGGCUUAUUUUGGCACACGAAGGGGCCUCACAAAGUUUCGCACAUUACGCGUCGGACGAAGAAAGUGGCCCACCCCACCCCCCAAGGGUAUAGCCCACCCGUAUUUGUGGCCUUUUUCCGCUGGACGAACUUGGCGCCCCGGCCUUCGGGCGGUUAUUUUGGGCGCCGCUGUGCCCGCGGCCUAUUUUUGGCACACAGAGCCGCCUCGUAAAGUCUCGCGCCAUUCCGAGUCCGGCGGACGAAGUUGGCCCGCCCCACCCCCCAAGGCUAUAGCCCACCCGUAUUUGUGGCCGUUUUCCGCUGGACGAACUUGGCGCCCCGGCCUUCGGGCGGUUAUUUUUGGGUACGGCUGUACCCGCGGCCUAUUUUUGGCACACGGAGCUGCCUCUCAAAGUCUCGCGCCAUUCCGAGUCCGGCGGACGAAGUGGGCCAGCACCACCCGCCAAGGCUAUAGCCCACCCGUUUUUGUGGGCUUUUUCCGUUGGACGAACUUGGCGCCCCGGCCUUCGGGCGGUUGUUUUUGGGCGCCGCUGUGCCCGCGGCCUAUUUUUGGCACACAGAGGCGCCUCGUAAUGUCUCGCGCCAUUCCGAGUCCGGCGGACGAAGUUGGCCAGCCCCGCCCCCCAAGGCUAUAGCCCACCCGUUUUCGUGGGCUUUUUCCUCUGGACGAAUUUUGGCGCCCCGGCCUUUGGGCGGUUAUUUUUGGGCGUGGCUGUGCCCUUGGCUUAUUUUUUGCACACGGAGGUGGCUCGCCAAGUCUCGCGCCAUUCCGAGUCUGGCGGACGAAGUUCGCCAGUCCCGCCCCCCAAGGCUAUAGCCCACCCUUUUUUGUGGGCUUUUUCCUCUGGACGAACUUGGCGCCCCGGCCUUUGGGCGGUUAUUUUUGGGCGUGGCUGUGCCCUUGUCUUAUUUUUGGCACACGGAGGCGCCUCGCAAAGUCUCGUGGCAUUCCGAGUCCGGCGGACGAAGUUGGCUAGCCCCACCCCCCAAGCCUAUAGCCCACCCGUUUUUGUGGGCUUUUUCCGCUUGAUGAACUUGGCGCCCCGGCCUUCGGGCGGUUAUUUUUUGGUGCGGCUGUGCCCGUGGCCUAUUUUUGGCACACGGAGGUGCCUCACAAAGUCUCGCGCCAUUCCAAGUCCGGCGGA